GUCCUAUGGGAUGCAGCAGUGGGGAAUAUUGGGCAAUGGAGGGAACUCUGACCCAGCGACGCCGCGUGCGGGAUGAAGGCCUUCGGGUUGUAAACCGCUUUCAGCAAGGAAGAAGCGAAAGUGACGGUACUUGCAGAAGAAGCACCGGCUAACUAUGUGCCAGCAGCCGCGGUAAUACAUAGGGUGCAAGCGUUGUCCGGAAUUAUUGGGCGUAAAGAGCUCGUAGGUGGUUCGUCACGUCGGAUGUGAAAAUCUGGGGCUUAACCCCAGACCUGCAUUCGAUACGGGCGAGCUAGAGUGUGGUAGGGGAGACUGGAAUUCCUGGUGUAGCGGUGGAAUGCGCAGAUAUCAGGAGGAACACCAAUGGCGAAGGCAGGUCUCUGGGCCAUUACUGACACUGAGGAGCGAAAGCGUGGGGAGCGAACAGGAUUAGAUACCC
rnacentral:rRNA from 1 species